rnacentral:tmRNA from 1 species
GGGGGCGACUGGCUUCGACGGGGUUAGUGAAGCUGUGGCCGCGUGCCCAGGUCUCUCGGAUCCUGGUAAAACCUCUGGGAAAAUUUUCAAACGCCAACAACAACUUGGCCCUGGCUGCGUAACUCUUAGGAGUUACUGCACCUGCUCUUAGAGAAGCCCUCCUGAGGCGGCUUUAAGGGUAUCGAAAAUUCGGGAUAGUCGGCUGCUGCGUCUUCCGGUAGUCGGCGAAACUCUAGAAGACUUGUCCAGAAGUGGGCUGUCCACUGGCCAGCGGCUGGAGACCUCAAUCGGUGGAAUACGCACGUAGACGCUGUGGUCGAUCUUCUCUCGGACCGGGGUUCGAAUCCCCGCGCCUCCACUU